rnacentral:RNase_P_RNA from 1 species
GCAGGCCGGUCUGCCGCUGGCUCAUAUGUCCCCGAGACAUAUCUGAGCGAGAGGAAAGUCCGGGCAGCAAAGGGUACCCCGCUUCCUAACAGAAAGAGGUUCGCAAGGGUCUGUAGAUGUAGAAGAAAAUAACCGCUCUGCACGUCAGAGUAAGGGUGAGAAGGUGGAGUAAGAGCCCACCAGGCCAAUGGUGACAUUGGUGCUGUACAUCCCGGGGGCUGAAAGUUCAUGUAAACCGGCGAAUACAACGAGAGGGCGACCCGUCCAAGCCGGAGGGUAGAACGAUAGAUGUCUGUGGCGACACAGAUGCUGGAUAAAUGGCAGACACCCGCGCACAUCGCGGCACACAGAACCCGGCUUACAGGCCUACUGU